UACGGGGGGAGCAAGCGUUGUUCGGAUUUACUGGGCGUAAAGGGCGCGUAGGCGGCCACUGCAAGUCGGUUGUGAAAUCUCCGGGCUUAACCCGGAAAGGUCAAUCGAUACUGCAGGGCUAGAGUGCAGAAGGGGCAACUGGAAUUCUCGGUGUAGCGGUGAAAUGCGUAGAUAUCGAGAGGAACACCUGCGGCGAAGGCGGGUUGCUGGGCUGACACUGACGCUGAUGCGCGAAAGCCAGGGGAGCGAACGGG
rnacentral:rRNA from 1 species